CACCGCUGUUGUAAGUGGCAGGAGCCAUCUGUAGUCACCAUGGCAAAGAGGGAGGACAGCCCUGGCCUAGAAGUGCAACCAAUGGACAAGCAGUUCCUGGUGUGCAGCAUCUGCCUGGAUCGGUAUCGGUGACCCAAAGUUCUGCCUUGCCUGCAUACCUUCUGUGAGAGAUGUCUCCAGAACUACAUCCCUGCCCAGAGCCUGACACUGUCCUGCCCCGUGUGUCGGCAGACGUCCAUCCUCCCCGAGCAGGGUGUCUCAGCACUGCAGAACAACUUCUUCAUCAGCAGCUCAUGGAGGCCAUGCAGCAAGCACCCGAUGGGGCCCACGACCCAGAGGACCCCCACCCCCUUAGCGCUGUGGCUGGCCGCCCUCUCUCCUGCCCCAACCAUGAAGGCAAGACAAUGGAAUUUUACUGUGAGGCCUGAGAGACAGCCAUGUGCGGAGAGUGCCGCGCAGGAGAGCAUCGGGAGCAUGGCACAGUGCUGCUGCGGGACAUGGUGGAGCAGCACAAGGCAGCCCUGCAGCACCAGCUUGAGGCUGUGCGUGGCAGCUUGACCCAGUUGUCUACAGCUAUUGCCUUAGUCGGGGGCAUCAGCCAGCAGUUGCAAGAGUGCAAGGCAGAAGCCCUGGCCCAGAUCAGUGCAGCCUUCGAGGACCAGGAGCAAGCGCUACAGCAGCGCAAGCAGGCUCUGGUCAGCGACUUGGAGACUAUUUGUGGGGCCAAGCAGAAGGUGUUGUAAAUCCAGUUAGACACACUGCGCCAGGGUCAGGAGCACAUUGGCAGUAGCUGCAGCUUCACGGAGCAGGCACUGCAUCUGGGCUCUGCCCCGGAAGUGUUACUGGUGCGCAAGCACAUAAGAGAGAGGCUGGCAGCUCUGGCAGCUCAGGUCUUCCCAGAACGGCCACAUGAGAAUGCACAGCUAGAACUGGUCCUUGAGGUUGAUGGGCUGCGAAGAUCGGUGCUUAAUCUGGGCACAUUGCUCACCACCAGUGCCACUACACACCAGACAGUGGCCACAGGCGAGGGCCUGCUCCAGGCACUAGUGGGCCAACCCGCCUUGCUCACUGUCACUACCAAAGACAAAGAUGGGUGGCUGGUGUGCACAGGCAGCGCUGAGCUGCCAGCAGGGAUCACAGGCUUGGAUGGCACGCGCCUUCCUGUGCCAGUGGUGGACCACAAGAAUGGCAUUUAUGAGCUAGUGUACACUGCACGCACCGAAGGCGAGCUGCUCCUCUCAGUGCUGCUCUACGGGCAGCCAGUGCGUGGCAGCCCUUUCCGUGUGCGUGCCCUGCAUCCUGGGGACCUGCCACCUUCCCCUGAUGAAGCACCGUGUCAAGUCCCCUGGUGGACCAGGCAGCCAUGUGCGCCAGAAGGCAGUGCGUAGGCCCAGCUCCGUGUACAGCACAGGUGACAAACGGAAGGAGAACCCAAUUGAGGACGAGCUCGUCUUCCGUGUUGGCAGUCGUGGAAGAGAGAAGGGUGAAUUCACUAAUUUACAAGGUGUGUCUGCAGCUAGCAGUGGUCGCAUUGUGGUAGCAGACAGCAACAAUCAGUGUCUCCAGACCAAGACUGGAGCCGGCUGCCUCAUGGGGCCCAAAGGAGUGGCUGUAGACCGGAAUGGACAUAUCAUUGUGGUUGACAACAAAUCUUGCUGUGUCUUCACCUUCCAACCGAAUGGCAAGCUGAUUGGACAUUUUGGGGGCUGUGGGGCUACUGACCGCCACUUUGCAGGGCCCCAUUUUGUGGCUGUGAACAACAAGAACGAGAUUGUAGUAACGGAUUUCCAUAACCAUUCAGUGAAGGUGCUGAUGGAGAGUUCCUCUUCAAGUUUGGCUCCCAUGGUGAGGGCAACGGGCAGUUCAACACUCCCACAGGAGUAGCUGUGGACUCCAAUGGGAACAUCAUUGUGGCAGACUGGGGCAACAGCCGUAUCCAGGUGUUUGACAGCUCUGGCUCCUUCCUGUCCUAUAUCAACACUUCUGCAGAGCCACUGUAUGGCCCACAGGGCUUGGCACUGACCUCGGAUGGCCACGUGGUGGUGGCUGAUGCUGGCAACCACUGCUUUAAGGCCUAUCGCUACCUCCAGUAGCUGCACAGGGGCCCUGCCUGGCUCAUGGAGGGACGGGCAAAGGGGUGAUUGGACAAGAGGGUCUGGCUGAGAGGUGGGCCAGAUCUUGCAGCACUGAAUGUGGGCUGUGGGCGUGGGUGCGGCCAUACCUUCCCUUUCCUCCCCAAACCCCAUGGUUGCACUUUAUUUAUUCGGUUCUUGCUUUGGUGACUGGGUGGGCCUGGACUGUGGUCCUAAGGAUGUGUGCAGAGCUUCACCUUAUCCCCUUUACACACCUCCCCUGACCCCUCAGUCUGCUCUCUACCCCACUGCCUGGGGCCAGAACAGCCUCUUACUCCAGGACAGAAGUCCCUCUGGUUGUCUCCCUACCACCCUUUACACACUGACAGAGACAGCAAUACCCCACCCCCCAUAUUAAAUAAAUGUCUUCACCAAGAAAAAAAA